GGGGAAUAUUGCACAAUGGGCGCAAGCCUGAUGCAGCAACGCCGCGUGAGGGAUGACGGCCUUCGGGUUGUAAACCUCUUUUAGUAGGGAAGAAGCCUUCGGGUGACGGUACCUGCAGAAAAAGCACCGGCUAACUACGUGCCAGCAGCCGCGGUAAUACGUAGGGUGCAAGCGUUGUCCGGAAUUAUUGGGCGUAAAGAGCUCGUAGGCGGCUUGUCGCGUCUGCUGUGAAAUCCCGGAGCUCAACUCCGGGCGUGCAGUGGGUACGGGCAGGCUAGAGUGCGGUAGGGGAGAUUGGAAUUCCUGGUGUAGCGGUGGAAUGCGCAGAUAUCAGGAGGAACACCGAUGGCGAAGGCAGAUCUCUGGGCCGCUACUGACGCUGAGGAGCGAAAGCAUGGGGAGCGAAC
rnacentral:rRNA from 1 species